GAUUCGUCGAUAGGACACAGAGCACUUCGCGUUGGACUGGGUAUGUCCCUGUCCCUGCAAACCUGCUCUCUCUGCACUCAAUACAACUAUUUCGCUUUAAUUCCUGCAUAUGUUCCAACUUUACCAAACCCCAUCUCUCUUCCUUACCUUAACCACGUCGUCGUUCAGAUGUUUUGGAUCUCUGUUGAUCAAAUCGAUCUCUUUGGUGUGAACAUCAGUCACGUAUUUCUCGUUCAACUUCUCAUCUUCCAUUUUAUUAUUGGGUUUGUAAAUAUUCCCGUAGUCUCUGAUCGGCGAUGGGUAUAAAAGUCCCUGGGAAGGGUCAGAACAAUUUCUUAUUUAAGCUGACUUUGAGCGGCUCUAACACAAAACACCGAACGUAGCCGCCGCCUGAUGCCUGAGAGGAACUUUAUUGAGCCUGAUCGUAUAUAAGUGGAAAAGUAGAGCGGCACCACACCCCUGUGAACCGGAGCUGGCGGCUGGAAAGCCAUUCCCAAUCCGGCAGCAGGGGGCAGCACAAGGGCUCGCUUGGAUACAGGGAGUCACUCCAGCACUGACCCACUGGGAAAUCUCCAACUGAGGGAUACAGUGAGUCAUUCCUCCACUGAUCCAUUGGGAAAUCUCCAACUGAGGGAUACAGGGAGUCAUUCCUCCACUGAUCCAUUGGGAAAUCUCCAACUCAGGGAUACAGUGAGUCAUUCCUCCACUGAUCCAUUGGGAAAUCUCCAACUGAGGGAUACAGUGAGUCACUACAACAUCGACCCACUGGGAAAUCUCCAACUGAGGGAUACAGGGAGUCAAUCCAGCACUGACCCACUGGGAAAUCACCAACUGAGGGAUACAGUGAGUUACUUCAGCAUUGACCCAUUGGGAAUUCUCCAACUGAGGGAUACAGGGAGUCACUCCAGCACCAACCCUCUGGGAAAUCACCAACUGAGGGAUACGGUGUGUCACUCCAGCACUGACACAUUGGGAAUUCUCCCACUGAGGGAUACGAACAGUAAAUGCAGGAUGGAUGAACCGAGCGGUUUGAGUCACCAUGGAGAUCAGAUGUUUUUCACAGCUCGGGGAGCUUCGAAGACCGGUACGCUCGAGUGAAGCGUAAAUUGAUGGCAGAGAAGCAGCGUCCAAUGCUCUGAUACAGAGGAGAAACAAACAUGUCCAUGAUCGUUUUCCAGAUGGUUUUACAGGAGGGCAGGAUAACCAUAAAUGUCUUCACAAUGGGCAUAAGAAACCUGCAGUUAAAACAGAGACUCUAUUACUCACAAUCAUUUUACAGAUUCAUAAUGAUAGAUGUCAACAAAUGGAAAACUCAGCAUUUCAAGCUAUGCAUUACCAAUCCACAGAGAACUGCUACAAUUUCCUACAUCAAACAAUUCUUUUUUGCUUUUCUCGUGUCAGCUUCACAAUUGUGAAUGUGACCAAACCUUUCUGUAAUAUUGACGAAGGAACAGUAUUGGUAGGACCCUGUGAUUAGUGCCCCUGUUCUUCCUUGAAAUAAUGCAUGGGAUCACUUACAUCUGACUGAACAGACAAUGGGGACUUGGUUUAAUGUUAAAUCCAAAAGGUGGGGCUUCUAACAGUGCAGUGUUUCCUCAAUGAGUCACUGGAGUGACAGCCAUGGUUGAAUGCACUCAAGCCCUAUAAUGGGACUUGAACCCAGGUCCUUGGGCCUAGCAACUGAACCACAACUUACAUGCAGCCAUUAGUAUAUGCCAGGAACAGACAGGCUUUGCCUUUUAAAAAUAUAUUUUACUUCUGUUAAUUAUGUGUGUAGGUUCUAGGUUAGAUUGCUUACAGUGUGGAAACAGGCCCUUCGGCCCAACAAGCCCACACCAACCCUCCAAAGAGCAACCCACCAGACCCAUUCGCCUACAUUUACCCCUCACCUAACACUACGGGCAAUUUAGUAUGGCAAUUCACGUAACCUGCACAUUUUUGGACUGUGGGAGGAAACCGGAGCAAAUCCAAGCAGACACAGGGAGAAUGUGCAAACUCCACACAAACAGUUGCCUGAUGUGGGAAUUGAACCCAGGUUCCUGGCGCUGUGAGGCAGCAGUACUAACCACUGUGCCACUGUGACACCGUGUGUAUAUAUAAAAAACUGGUUAAGAAAGUUGA